CCCGCUGAACUUAAGCAUAUCAAUAAGCGGAGGAAAAGAAACCAACAGGGAUUGCCUUAGUAACGGCGAGUGAAGCGGCAACAGCUCAAAUUUGAAAUCUGCCUCUAGGCCGAGUUGUAAUUUGUAGAAGAUGCUUCGGGUGUGGCACCGGUCUAAGUUCCUUGGAACAGGACGUCAUAGAGGGUGAGAAUCCCGUACGUGACUGGCCGCCUUCGCCCGUGUGAAGCUCUUUCGACGAGUCGAGUUGUUUGGGAAUGCAGCUCAAAAUGGGUGGUGAACUCCAUCUAAAGCUAAAUAUUGGCGAGAGACCGAUAGCGAACAAGUACCGUGAGGGAAAGAUGAAAAGCACUUUGGAAAGAGAGUGAAACAGUACGUGAAAUUGUUGAAAGGGAAACGCUUGAAGUCAGUCGCGUCCGCCGAGACUCAGCCUCGCUCCGGCUUGGUGUAUUUCUCGGUCGACGGGUCAGCAUCAAUUCUGCCCCUCGGAUAAUGGCAAGGGAAAGGUGGCACCUUUGCGGGUGUGUUAUAGUCUUUUGUCGCAUGCGAGGGGCGAGAUUGAGGAUCUCAGCACGCGCACCUUUGGGUGUGUCGGGGCCUCGGCCCACGCCACGUGCUUAGGAUGCUGGCAUAAUGGCUUUAAACGACCCGUCUUGAAACACGG
rnacentral:rRNA from 1 species